rnacentral:tRNA from 1 species
GGGGUCGUAGCUCAUCGGGAAGAGCACUGUCCUCGCACGGCAGAGGUGGCGGGUUCGAGCCCCGCCGGCUCCA